AUUGAACGCUGGCGGCAGGCUUAACACAUGCAAGUCGAGCGGGGUGAUGGUGCUUGCACUAUCACUUAGCGGCGGACGGGUGAGUAAUGCUUAGGAAUCUGCCUAUUAGUGGGGGACAACACCUCGAAAGGGAUGAUAAUACCGCAUACGUCCUACGGGAGAAAGCAGGGGAUCACUUGUGACCUUGCGCUAAUAGAUGAGCCUAAGUCGGAUUAGCUAGUUGGUGGGGUAAAGGCCUACCAAGGCGACGAUCUGUAGCGGGUCUGAGAGGAGGAUCCGCCACACUGGGACUGAGACACGGCCCAGACUCCUACGGGAGGCAGCAGUGGGGAAUAUUGGACAAUGGGGGGAACCCUGAUCCAGCCAUGCCGCGUGUGUGAAGAAGGCCUUAUGGUUGAAAAGCACUUUAAGCGAGGAGGAGGCUCUUUUGGUUAAUACCCAAGAUGAGUGGACGUUACUCGCAGAAUAAGCACCGGCUAACUCUGUGCCAGCCGCCGCCGUAA
rnacentral:rRNA from 1 species